rnacentral:lncRNA from 1 species
GAAGACUUUCUAGACUUUAUACAUGAUGUCUCAAAACCAUCUAAUACUUUAGAGUACAAAAUUUGGGACUAAUCUCGUACACAACUUAAACAAUACUAGAAAUACAUCAAAAGGAACAUGUAGGGUAUUGUCCUCGAAUCUAUGAGGACUCACCAAGUCUUCAUCUCCAACACUUAGAAACCUAUCAAGUAGCCAUGACAUGUCACCAUCUCCAAAUCCCUACA